rnacentral:rRNA from 1 species
CUAACCUCGGUAGCCACUUUGCAUUUGGAAUUGCGCUUUACUAAAUUCCAAUUCUAAUCCCCGUUUACACUCGUGCUGUGUUCUUCCCAUAAACCUUCUCUCCUUCCUCCCCACCGUCUACCCCAGAUUUGCCUCCCCAGAUUCCGGCCCGCUUCGCCCCGCCGGCCGCCGCCGCCGCCCGCGCGCAGCCCUCCCACCGGGGCACGCCCGCCGGCUUCCAAUUGGAGGAAUUCGGAUCUCCUCCUCCUCUGCUGGGCUUGCUUGGAGCGGAGAUCCGCCGGGACCUCAGUUCUCUGACUCGGUUGGAUGUGAUACUCCAGUUCUGACAAUGAAUAAUUCAGACAAGAAGUCGGCAUGCUCCAUUCCUAGAAGAUCAUCAGAACGGAGGAAACAGUCCUCUUCUGAGUUGGUUUCUUCAGCAAAAAAGCCAACUCGCCACAAUACCUCCAGCAGUUAUAAGCCAGAUCAUUGUUCUCCUCCCAAGAGAACAGUAAGAACAGUCAGGAAUGUUAAUCUGGCAAAAUAUAUAAAGAACAAGUAUUAUCGUAGUCCUCUGAGCAAGCGGCAGGCUUCAAAUGCUGCUACUGGAAAAACUGCGACAGGACCAGUCAGGAGGAGGAACCGGAAACGGAGAAGGCACAAUACUGAUUGUGAUGAGGCAACUCGCAUGGAAAGAAGGGCGAGAUAUUUGCUGGUCAAAAUAAAAUCGGAGCAGAAUUUAAUAGAUGCAUACUCUGGAGAUGGCUGGAAUGGGCACAGCCGAGAGAAAUUAAAGCCAGAGAAGGAGCUACAGCGUGCUAAGAAACAGAUCAUUAAAUGCAAAAUUGCUAUCCGUGAUAUUAUCCAUCAACUUGAUUUGUAUAGUUCUAGUGGGAGCAUGGAAGAUUCCGUGAUGCCUCCAGAUGAGUCUAUUAACCCUGAUAAUACCAUAUGUUCAAGAUGCAAGUCUCCUGAAUCAGUUCCCAACAAUAAAUUUAUCUUCUGUGAAGGGGCCUGCAAAAUGGCAUACCAUGAGAAAUGUUCAGAACCUCCUCUAGACAAAAGUCUUCCUACUGGUGGUCCUGGAUGGCUUUGUAAAUUCUGUUUGUGCAAGAUGAACAUUUUAGAAGCUGUAAAUGCACAUUUGGGAACAAGCCUUACAGUGAUGUGUCCCUCUAAAGAUAUUUUUAAGGAAGCAACUAAACAGAUGGACUCUGAGGAUGGACUAGGAGAGGAUUGGUUAUCUGAGUAUUCAGGUGAUGAGGACUAUGACCCUGAAGAAAAUGACUUCACAAGCAGCAGCCUGGAUAGUGGUGAAGAAAGUAUAUCUGAUCAGUCCAAUUGUUCAGGAAGUCCGCUUUAUUCUCCAAACGAUGAUAUUCCAGGCUUUAUAUCAGCAGAUUUCACUGAUGCGGAAGGAUUCUACCACACCAAUUCAAAUUUAGGAAUUGAUUCUGAUGAUGAUGAUGUUGCCGAGAUGCUUACCUACCAAAGGCCAAAGAGAGAGGUUGAUUAUAAAAGACUUAAUGAGGAAAUGUUUGGAAAGCUGACUGAGAAUGAAAAGCAGAGUGAAGAUGAAGAUUGGGGUACUAAUAAUAGGAGAAAGAAAAGAAGAGUGGAUUCAGCUGGUGUUGGAGUUAAGUCUGCCGAGGGUUCCUUAGAUGUAAAAUCGAAUGAGAAAGCCCAACCGCAGAGGAGAAAACUCUUCAGAAUUCCACCUGAGGCAGUUCAGGUACUACGCAAAUCUUUUGCUGAAAGUGAGCUUCCAACCCGGGAGGUGAAAGAGAAUCUCUCAACAGAAUUGGGUAUUUCUUUUGAAAAGAUUGACAAGUGGUUCAAAAAUACAAGGUGUGCUGCUCUAAGAGAUCGGAAGGCUGAAGGAAAUAGUCGUGUUGCUGGUCCCAGCAAAAGAUCGAGACAGAGUGCAGGGAAAUCUGGAAGUUCAGGCAAGAUUGAUCCAGUGGACAAUUCAUAUCUUCUUCCUGUGCCUGAAAUCAUCAGUGUACCUACACAUCCACAAGGGAUUCCUGAGAGGAAGCCCGAAUCAACUAGUAGAACUGCAAGGAGGCGGGUACACGAUAAAGGAGCUCCCUUGUGUCCGCCCGCGCCCACCGAAGUCAAGGAGAGUACAUCACCUACAACCAAGCCUGGCUUGAAUCCUAGCCAUGUAGCAGAUCGCAUCAUCAACACCGAGCAUAGAGCUGCUUCUCGGGAGGAUCCAGUGGCCUUCUCGGACGACCCAUUCUUUGAUGCGAUCCUAUCAUAUCCCACCAUCAACACCAACGACAGAGCUGUUUCUCGGGAGGAUCCGGUGGCCUUCUCAGACGAUCCUUUCCUGGAUGUGAUGCUAGCAAACCGUGACAUCUAUACCGAGGAGAGAGCCGCUUCUCACGAGGACCUGAGGCGGCCUUCCAGCGACCAGCCUUUCUUGGAUGUGAUCCAGAACGUGUGCGGACUCGAGCAUAGGCUGCAGAGACUCAAGGGGGACAUGCUAUCAUCAGCAGCAGCACCAGGCGGCGCUGGAACCGCGGAGCGUGACUUGCAGAACCAACUGGUGGUUCUCGUGCCGACUGCCGAGCUGAAGGACAAAUCACAGCCUAGCAUCUGAAAUUCCGAGUGCAGAUGCAAUACUCCAUUUGCGCGUUGUCGAUAGGAGUUAUUAAAACAUAUAGAAUAGUGUAGAGAAGGAGAAGAAAAGAAAAGUAGUGGCUCUAGUCUAGGGUUCUAGCGGACAAGGGGCCUCAACAGUGGUCGUUACUGUGUCACAUUAAAGUGCGUCUUCGGUGUUACUAGUAUACAAGGGCAGAUAUUACUGGUCUUAAUGGGUUGGAGUUAUAUACCGUUUGGGGUUCAAAAUGUUUUGGAUUAG